rnacentral:miRNA from 1 species
ACGUUUGAUCGAGCUUUAAAUA